UACGUAGGGUGCGAGCGUUGUCCGGAAUUACUGGGCGUAAAGAGCUCGUAGGUGGUUUGUCGCGUUGUCCGUGAAAACUCACAGCUCAACUGUGGGCGUGCGGGCGAUACGGGCAGACUGGAGUACUGCAGGGGAGACUGGAAUUCCUGGUGUAGCGGUGGAAUGCGCAGAUAUCAGGAGGAACACCGGUGGCGAAGGCGGCGACCUGGGUAGAUACUGACGCUGAGGCGCGAAAGCGUGGGGAGCAAACAGG
rnacentral:rRNA from 1 species